GUCUAGGACCCCUGGGUGGUCGCGCAGAUCCCGGACGAGCCCCCAAAUGAAAGACCCCGAAGGGAGCCCCCCACUCAAGUCUCGGGAAAGACGCGCACCCAGUAGGACACAGACACCG
rnacentral:pre_miRNA from 14 species